GGAACAAAAGGAAUUUUGUCUGAGAUUUUAGCAGAAAAGUAAUUUUUGAAAUCUAUUCUUGGAUUUAGACGUUUAUUGGAUUUCAAAGCUUCUUGCUGCCCAGGAGCUUGUGAAUACGGUCAAAGGUCCAUGAAAUUUCCAAAGUGGUACCACAGCAGAUGAACCUGAAUGCAAACUGGAGGGACCAACAGAGUCCAGCCUAUAGACAUAAAUCCUUAACUACACCUAGAUCUCACUGUCUUUUCCAAUGGUCAAAAGAGGGGCUCUUGAAAUGGCUCCAUUGUUUUAUAGAAACAAGGUCUUCCUAAGAAGUCUUUUUCUCCUAUCUUUUUCUUACCCAAAAUAAAGGAAUGGCCCAAAACCUCAAGCCAAGCUUACCAGCUAUAAACAACUUGGUGGUCAGCAGCCAAAAGAAGAGUGGACAUGCCAUGGUCAUGUGGCACGUACCCUAUACAAGCUUCACAGAGAAGAAUGGAAGCACUUGAUUGUAAGACAGAGGGUGAGAUGUGAGAGGAAUAUUAACCUUCACUUUCCACAGGCAUUUUUUUCUGCAAAUGGCACCAGCUUUUGGACUUAAAAUUUUAUUCCAAAUACUAUUUAGAUGCAUCAGGGCCCUCAAAAUAUGGAUUUCAAGUUGGAGACAUCAAAGUGCAUUAUUUACUAAAACCACUGCAGCUUUUUUCCCCUCUCCUUUCACAAGAUGCUAUUGUAAAUUCAGGCUGCUUUAAUCUCUGUGAUUAAAAAAAAAAAGGAAGAAAGAAAAAAAAAGUGCUGCUUGAAGAGGAACUGAACUCACAAUCUGGGAGCUAGAAAGUAAAUAUUACCCAGAGAGUACCUCACUUUAAUUACUGGCCUGAACAUUGGUUUCAAUUUACAUGUAUUUUAAUUAGCCACAGAAGGGUUCACCUAUUACUCUCUGAAUACAAAACUUAAAAAGCAAACAGAAAAUAGGGAAAGAAAGGCUUAUUUAAGGGCCUCCAAGGAUUAAUCUUUGCAUUCUUCUCAUUUUUUCCCCGAAUUUGGGGAUAAAAUUUGUCGCAGGGAAUUUGAUCUUAGGGAAACAUUGAGUUUGGUUUGUGAACACAAGCUACUUCUGAACACUAUUUUAGCAAACAGAAUUUUAGAAGCAUAAGGCUCUAGCAGAGGGCUAUACAGAAUUUUGCAUAAACUAAAUAACAACCGUUUCCUCCUGAAAUGCAGGAAAUCAAGCUGCACGGUCCUUAGGUCUUCAGCAAAGCUUGGACCACUUGGCAAAGUCUUCUGUCUCCAGAGGAAUGAUGGGAAAACUAUGGGACAAAAGUCAGGAGAGUGGUGCUGGCUGAUCCUGGCCUGGACAUUGACUCCCUGGGGACUUUGGUGCUCUCUCGUGCUCUCUCUGUCUCCAGUGAUAAGCUGACCAGAUGCCUUGAAUUAAGUACAGUAUGCAGCAAUGCCAGCCCUGGACUUUUCCCCAACCUAUCACCCAACCCACUUACCUGGAGCCAAGGGUCACCAACAUCUCUAAUAGAAUCCAACU
rnacentral:lncRNA from 1 species